GAUGAACGCUGGCGGCGUGCCUAAUACAUGCAAGCCGAGCGAACGGACGAGAAGCUUGCUUCUCUGAUGUUAGCGGCGGACGGGUGAGUAACACGUGGAUAACCUACCUAUAAGACUGGGAUAACUUCGGGAAACCGUAGCUAAUACCGGAUAAUAUUUUGAACCGCAUGGUUCAAAAGUGAAAGACGGUCUUGCUGUCACUUAUAGAUGGAUCCGCGCUGCAUUAGCUAGUUGGUAAGGUAACGGCUUACCAAGGCAACGAUGCAUAGCCGACCUGAGAGGGUGAUCGGCCACACCGGAACUGAGACACGGUCCAGACUCCUACGGGAGGCAGCAGUAGGGAAUCUUCCGCAAUGGGCGAAAGCCUGACGGAGCAACGCCGCGUGAGUGAUGAAGGUCUUCGGAUCGUAAAACUCUGUUAUUAGGGAAGAACAUAUGUGUAAGUAACUGUGCACAUCUUGACGGUACCUAAUCAGAAAGCCACGGCUAACUACGUGCCAGCAGCCGCGGUAAUACGUAGGUGGCAAGCGUUAUCCGGAAUUAUUGGGCGUAAAGCGCGCGUAGGCGGUUUUUUAAGUCUGAUGUGAAAGCCCACGGCUCAACCGUGGAGGGUCAUUGGAAACUGGAAAACUUGAGUGCAGAAGAGGAAAGUGGAAUUCCAUGUGUAGCGGUGAAAUGCGCAGAGAUAUGGAGGAACACCAGUGGCGAAGGCGACUUUCUGGUCUGUAACUGACGCUGAUGUGCGAAAGCGUGGGGAUCAAACAGGAUUAGAUACCCUGGUAGUCCACGCCGUAAACGAUGAGUGCUAAGUGUUAGGGGGUUUCCGCCCCUUAGUGCUGCAGCUAACGCAUUAAGCACUCCGCCUGGGGAGUACGACCGCAAGGUUGAAACUCAAAGGAAUUGACGGGGACCCGCACAAGCGGUGGAGCAUGUGGUUUAAUUCGAAGCAACGCGAAGAACCUUACCAAAUCUUGACAUCCUUUGACAACUCUAGAGAUAGAGCCUUCCCCUUCGGGGGACAAAGUGACAGGUGGUGCAUGGUUGUCGUCAGCUCGUGUCGUGAGAUGUUGGGUUAAGUCCCGCAACGAGCGCAACCCUUAAGCUUAGUUGCCAUCAUUAAGUUGGGCACUCUAAGUUGACUGCCGGUGACAAACCGGAGGAAGGUGGGGAUGACGUCAAAUCAUCAUGCCCCUUAUGAUUUGGGCUACACACGUGCUACAAUGGACAAUACAAAGGGCAGCGAAACCGCGAGGUCAAGCAAAUCCCAUAAAGUUGUUCUCAGUUCGGAUUGUAGUCUGCAACUCGACUACAUGAAGCUGGAAUCGCUAGUAAUCGUAGAUCAGCAUGCUACGGUGAAUACGUUCCCGGGUCU
rnacentral:rRNA from 1 species